CAAAUACUCCCUCCGUCCGGAAAUACUUGUCAUAAAAAUGGAUAAAAGGAAAUGUAUCUAGACGUAUUUUAGUUUUAGAUACAUCUAUUUUUAUCCAUUUUGAUGAUAAGUAUUUUCGGACAGAGGGAGUAGAAA
rnacentral:pre_miRNA from 1 species